GACAUUGCAGUACAACCCCCUUUGCUGCUGUUUGAGGUAGGGCAGUCCUAAAUGGCUUUUUGAGGCAUAGCUACAGCAACACCUCUCUGCUGGAGUCUGGGCCUUAUUGGCAAACGUGCUCGUUUGCUGGAGCAGUAAGUCAAACACCAUAAAUCACACUGGGACAGGGACCUCUUCUUGGCACAGGCUCUCGGAGGGGGUUUGUCGAGCCCCAAGGUGACAUCUCUUCAGUGCCAAAUCUCUGUUGCCUGCACCUGUCUUGAGAGCAGCUGACUGAUGCGGUCCCCAUCAUCUAGUCAUGCUAAAAGGAAGAGGAAGAGCGGUUCCUUCGUGGUUCCUGUCAGGUGCUGUGGUGGCGUGUCACCUCCUGGCUGGCAGCAGUGGGACCCUUGAGACCCCGAGGACAGGAACAGCAGUGCACAGUCACACUCCCUGCCUGCUCUUCAGUUGCUGCCAUCAGCUGUGUUCUGCGUCUGAGGCUUCACGUUCGCAGUUGGCUCCGAACUCCCAGUGCGGACACACAGACGGUAUCUUCCUGGAGCUCCUUCUUGAGACACAGUUUCCCUCUCAGAGCUGCAGAUUUUAUCAUCAUUCCCCAAAUGUAUGUCUUAAUUCACGUUUCAUAUUGCCAACCAGGGAAUUGGAAGGUUUCAGUGAGAUACUACUUGUUUUGAAACACAGAAGGAAUUUAUAUUAGCGAAUUGUUCCAAUACUGCUCUUUCAAAAAGUUUUAAACAAUUUAUUCCUCACAGAUUUGAAUUGUUUUAGUUUUUGAAAAUUUGAAGUGUUUGAAACAUGUGUGUUUUUCUUUCUAUAUUGUGAGCACAGUUACUCCCUGCGUGACUCCCCUGAAGUCAGUGGAGCUGCACUGAAAUUAGUUGGGAAAAUGUUAAUAGAGUAACAGAUACUGUCGAUUACAGUUAUACAGAAGAAUAAAGAGUAGGGAUGGCAGUGGAAAUGACAAAGAACUGAAACAGAAAAAUUAAAAGUAGAAGGGAUUAGUGAGAGAGAGCUGCUGCAGCCUUUUGUUUGGUCUGCUCUGGAGGCUGGUGAGCCCCUGUGCAAGGAGCCCUACCUCAAGGUCCUCAUGCUUGAGCCCUGUAUGCCAUCGGGUAUCUUGGAGCAGUUUUGGGUGAGGUAUUUAAAUAGGGAAAAUACAUACAGUGUUAGAUUUUAGCCUAUCUUCCUCGUGGUGCAUGUUUGCAAAUGUUUUGUUUUAGUCUAGUAUGUGGUAGAUGUAAUGUUUUUAGCUAACACUCAAACAUAAACCAAGUUUUAUGGGAUGAAGUAAGGGCCAGCUUGGCUGAAAAUAGUUAUUGCUGCCUUCUGGUGGAAUAACCCAAUACCAGAACUAUUACCAGAUGUUAAAUUAAUAUAUAUGUCUGGAUGUACUAUAUAUUGUUUCCUUCAAUACUGAAUCCCUUAAAAGCUCCUUAUCAAUCUGCUUUGUUUUAUAUUCAGUGUACUGACAUAAGCUAGC